CCAUGACACUUACAGGCUGUAAUUGGGGGCUACUACACUCUGCUGGUGAAGAUGCAGGCAGCUCUGCCUUCACAGCAGCAGCUUCCGAGGAGAGAAACAAUCCUGUUUGCUUGGUAUGGCAGGAG